UAAGGAAUAUUGGUCAAUGGGCGCAAGCCUGAACCAGCCACGCCGCGUGAAGGAUGACGGCCCUAUGGGUUGUAAACUUCUUUUCUACGGGGAUAAAUCUCAUUACGUGUAAUGAGUUGAAGGUACCGUAGGAAUAAGCAUCGGCUAACUCCGUGCCAGCAGCCGCGGUAAUACGGAGGAUGCAAGCGUUAUCCGGAUUCAUUGGGUUUAAAGGGUGCGUAGGCGGGAUGGUAAGUCAGGGGUGAAAGCCAACAGCUCAACUGUUGAAUUGCCUUUGAUACUGCUAUUCUUGAGUAUGUUUGAAGUGGGCGGAAUGUGACAUGUAGCGGUGAAAUGCUUAGAUAUUUCUCGGAACGCCGAUUGCGUAGGCAGGUUACUAGGUUAUUACUGACACUGAGGCAC
rnacentral:rRNA from 1 species